rnacentral:rRNA from 1 species
AGUUAAGUGACUAAGCGUACACGGUGGAUGCCUUGGCAAUCAGAGGCGAAGAAGGACGUGCUAAUCUGCGAAAAGCGUGGGGAGCUGAUAAGGAGCGUUAAUCCCACGAUGUCCGAAUGGGGAAACCCGAUAGAUGAAGAAUCUAUCAUUGUUGUCUGAAUUCAUAGGGCAACAAGGCAAACCGGGAGAACUGAAACAUCUAAGUACCCCGAGGAAAAGAAAUCAACCGAGAUUCUGCGAGUAGCGGCGAGCGAAAGCGGAGGAGCCAGCGAGUGAUAGCAUAAGUUUUAGGAGAAUUGUCUGGGAAGGCAAGCGAGAGAGGGUGACAGCCCCGUAUCCGAAAAGACGGAUGUGGUACUAAGCUAGCAAGAAGUAGGGCGGGACACGAGGAAUCCUGUUUGAAGAAGGGGGACCAUCCUCCAAGGCUAAAUACUCCUGAUUGACCGAUAGUGGACCAGUACCGUGAGGGAAAGGCGAAAAGAACCCCGGGAGGGGAGUGAAAGAGAACCUGAAACCGUGUACGUACAAGCAGUGGGAGCCCCAUCACUCAAUCGUAUUGAUUGAAGAGAGGGAGCGGAACUCAUCUCAUAAAGGUUAACAAUUUACGAAUGAAAUGAGUAAAUUGGUCAACCGAAAAAGAAGCAGUGGGAUUGAGUGAUGGGGUGACUGCGUACCUUUUGUAUAAUGGGUCAGCGACUUAUAUUUUGUAGCGAGGUUAACCGGAUAGGGGAGCCGAAGGAAACCGAGUCUUAACUGGGCGGUUAGUUGCAAGAUAUAGACCCGAAACCCGGUGAUCUAGCCAUGGGCAGGAAGAAGGUUGGGUAACACUAACUGGAGGGCCGAACCGACUACUGUUGAAAAAGUAGCGGAUGACCUGUGGCUGGGGGUGAAAGGCCAAUCAAACCGGGAGAUAGCUGGUUCUCCCGAAAUCUAUUUAGGUAGAGCCUUAUAUGAAUACCUUCGGGGUAGAGCACUGUUUCGGCUAGGGGUCCAUCCCGGAUUACCAACCCGAUGCAAACUGCGAAUACCGAAGAGUAAUAUAUAGGAGACACACGGCGGGUGCUAACGUUCGUCGUGGAGAGGGAAACAACCCAGACCGCCAGCUAAGGUCCCAAAGUCUAUAUUAAGUGGGAAACGAAGUGGAAAGGCUUAGACAGCUAGGAUGUUGGCUUAGAAGCAGCCAUCAUUUAAAGAAAGCGUAAUAGCUCACUAGUCGAGUCGGUCUGCGCGGAAGAUGUAACGGGGCUAAAAUAUAGCACCGAAGCUGCGGCAUCAGGCGUAUCACACAUACGCCUUACGAUUAACACCUUGCGAAGCAAGGUGGUCAAGCGACUUACACGUUGAGGUGUGAGCGGGAGGGAUAAUCGAAGAGAGGAAUAUGUGUGAUACGUCUGUUGGGUAGGGGAGCGUUGUGUAAGCUGAAGAAGGUGGUUCGAGAGGGCUGCUGGAGGUAUCACAAGUGCGAAUGCUGACAUAAGUAACGAUAAAGCGGGUGAAAGGCCCGCUCGCCGGAAGACCAAGGUUUCCUGUCCAACGUUAAUCGGGGCAGGGUGAGUCGGCCCCUAAGGCGAGGCUGAGAAGCGUAGUCGAUGGGAAAUGGGUUAAUAUUCCCAUACUUGGAUAAACUGCGAUGUGGGGACGGAGCAGGUUAGGUUAGCGUACGGAUGGAAGAGUACGUUUAAGUUGGUAGGUGGGGUGUUUAGGCAAAUCCGGGCACCUGAUAACACUGAGAGAUGAUGACGAAGCUCUACGGAGCUGAAGUAACUGAUACCCAACUUCCAGGAAAAGCCACUAAGCGAAAGGUUUAUCUAAACCGUACUGGAAACCGACACAGGUGGUCAGGUAGAGAAUACUAAGGCGCUUGAGAGAACUCGGGUGAAGGAACUAGGCAAAAUAGCACCGUAACUUCGGGAGAAGGUGCGCUGGCGUAGUGUGAAGUUCUUCGCGAAUGGAGCAUGAACCAGUCGAAGCGACGAGCUGGCUGCAACUGUUUAAUAAAAACACAGCACUCUGCAAACACGAAAGUGGACGUAUAGGGUGUGAUGCCUGCCCGGUGCUGGAAGGUUAAUUGAUGGUGUUAUCGAAAGAGAAGCACCUGAUCGAAGCCCCAGUAAACGGCGGCCGUAACUAUAACGGUCCUAAGGUAGCGAAAUUCCUUGUCGGGUAAGUUCCGACCUGCACGAAUGGCAUAAUGAUGGCCAGGCUGUCUCCACCCGAGACUCAGUGAAAUUGAAAUCGCCGUGAAGAUGCGGUGUACCCGCGGCUAGACGGAAAGACCCCGUGAACCUUUACUAUAGCUUGACACUGAACCUUGAAUUUUAAUGUGUAGGAUAGGUGGGAGACUGCGAAGCGGUAACGCCAGUUAUCGUGGAGUCGGUGUUGAAAUACCACCCUUUAACGUUUGAUGUUCUAACGAAGCGCCUGGGACAGGUGUUCGGACAGUGUCUGGUGGGUAGUUUGACUGGGGCGGUCUCCUCCCAAAGCGUAACGGAGGAGCACGAAGGUUGGCUAAUGACGGUCGGACAUCGUCAGGUUAGUGCAAUGGUAGAAGCCAGCUUAACUGCGAGACGGACAAGUCGAGCAGGUACGAAAGUAGGUCAUAGUGAUCCGGUGGUUCUGAAUGGAAGGGCCAUCGCUCAACGGAUAAAAGGUACUCCGGGGAUAACAGGCUGAUACCGCCCAAGAGUUCAUAUCGACGGCGGUGUUUGGCACCUCGAUGUCGGCUCAUCACAUCCUGGGGCUGAAGUAGGUCCCAAGGGUAUGGCUGUUCGCCAUUUAAAGUGGUACGCGAGCUGGGUUUAGAACGUCGUGAGACAGUUCGGUCCCUAUCGCCGUGGGCGUUGGAGGAUUGAGGGGGUUGCUCCUAGUACGAGAGGACCGGAGUGAACGCACCGCUGGUGUUCGGGUUGUCAUGCCAAUGGCAUUGCCCGGUAGCUAAGUGCGGAAGAGAUAAGUGCUGAAAGCAUCUAAGCACGAAACUUGCCCCGAGAUGAGUUCUCCCUGACAUAGAGUCAGUAAGGGUUGUUGAAGACGACGACGUAGAUAGGUGGGGUGUGUAAGCGGUGUGAGCCGUUGAGCUAACCCAUACUAAUUGCCCGAGAGGCUUAACUAU